rnacentral:rRNA from 1 species
GACGAACGCUGGCGGCGUGCUUAACACAUGCAAGUCGAACGGAAAGGCCCUGCUUUUGUGGGGUGCUCGAGUGGCGAACGGGUGAGUAACACGUGAGUAACCUGCCCUUGACUUUGGGAUAACUUCAGGAAACUGGGGCUAAUACCGGAUAGGAGCUCCUGCUGCAUGGUGGGGGUUGGAAAGUUUCGGCGGUUGGGGAUGGACUCGCGGCUUAUCAGCUUGUUGGUGGGGUAGUGGCUUACCAAGGCUAUGACGGGUAGCCGGCCUGAGAGGGUGACCGGCCACAUUGGGACUGAGAUACGGACCAGAAUCCUACGGGACGCAGCAGUGGGGAAUCUUGCACAAUGGGCGGAAGCGUGAUGCAGCAACGCCGCGUGCGGGAUGACGGCCUUCGGGUUGUAAACCGCUUUCGACUGUGACGAAGCGUGAGUGACGGUAAUGGGUAAAGAAGCACCGGCUAACUACGUG